rnacentral:lncRNA from 1 species
GUGCAUGGUAGAAACUCUCCCACUGCUCUUAGAUGUAAUGAAUAAUCUCCUGGUUUCCACACGUGAGUUUGAGUUGCACACUCCUUAAGCAAAGAAUUACUUUCCUUAAUUAGAACCAAUUCGGAUGUAGUGUAGAUAGUCUGACUUGUAACUGGCAUAUCUCCUAAACCAUUACUCUUUUUGGUAUGAAACCAAUUCGCUGCGUGCUCUGGUUGAGUUGAGAAUCUAUAGAAACUGGUUUCACGGUUAAAUUCCUUAUGGUUGCAAAGAUAUCCUUCUUUGAGUGCACCUAUGUCGCUGCUGGCUCCAAUGUAGCUUGUAUGGUUGAUCUCAUGAGUUGG